UGAAGCUGAAACACCUGUCAUCAUUUUAGUGUGGGAUUUUAGGUUUCAUGGCUAAAUUGGAGCAGCCUGGUGGCCAAUCAUCAUUAAUUGCACAUUAAUGCACAUUAUUGCACCAGUAAGAGCAGAGUGUGAAGGUUCAAUUAGCAGGGUAAGAGCACAGUUCUGCUCUAAAUAUUGCAAUGCACACAACAUUAUGAGUGAAAUACCAGAGUUCAAAAGAGGACAAAUUGUUGGUGCACGUCUUGCUGGAGCAUCUGUGACCAAGACAGCAAGUCUUUGUGAUGCAUCAAGAGCCACGGUAUCCAGGGUAAUGUCAGCAUACCACCAAGAAGGACCAACCACAUCCAACAGGAUUAACUGUGGACGCUGUAAGAGGAAUCUGUCUGAAAGGGAUCGCCAGAACUGUCCAUAGCCACAAUAAAUUAUUGUGGUCUAAAACCAGGUGUUUCAGUUUCAUUGUCCAACCCCUGUAGUAUAGCUAGUGGGAUACUAUGUACUCAUUUCAACAGAACUGUUCAUGAGAGAUGGAUUAGUGAUGUCGGCUUUAGAUUUCGGGCUUUACUUUUAUGGCUUUACUUCUGUGAUUUUCUCGUCCAGUGCCAUUUCAAAACUUAGAACGGUCCAAAAAAUGAUAGAGAUAAAGCAAAGAAACUUUCAUUUUCCUACACAAAAAGCUAUUCCAGGCCCAUUUUCAUCACGUAGUCUUUUUUUUAUCAGCACAACAUAUAAAACAUAUGGAAAAACAGGAAAACAAAGCCAGUCACAAUUACAAUUACAAAUCACACGAUUCUGCGCCGGCGCAGAACAGCCCUACAGUGGAAAACAGGCUAUAGCCAAACUGACUAGCUGACUAGCACAGGUUUAACCCAUUCACAAAGCCCAACAAAAGAAUCCUGAGCUUAAUCCUGUUAUGAUUUCUAUUAUUUUUAUUAUUAUUGCAUGGAAGAAAGAGAUCAUAUAUAUAUUUGAUGCCAGUAGGUACUUUUUCCAAUGCUUUUUUUGUGUCCUGACCAACGCAAACUGUGACAAAUGGGACUUUUGAUGUGUUUGCGUGUAUGCAUUCGAGUGUGUGUGUAUGUGUGUGUUUAUUCGUUUGCGUGUGCUGCCUUAUGUUCAUAUAGAGGAUUACUAUAUAUGGUGGUGGCCAGAUUAUGUAUAAUAUGUGGAUAUAUUGUGUAUUGGAGUCAUGAUCGUAUGAUGAAUGGCGUCUGGACGAGGCUAAGCGCUCAGAGCUUUGAUGACCUUGGCUGGUAUACAGUAGUCUUUUCUUAAUGUAAAGCUCCUCCUUCCUCUUUUAAUGGAAAGUAAUCGGGAUCGUGUUGUAGAGUUUUUGUCGUUUGAUGGAAAUUAAGUCGUCAGGACUGAGUACUUUUUACUGAGAUAAGGAGAUAAGGUGAGAUUGUGACUCAUCUUAUUGCUUAUUGGCAGCGUUGGUGUUUUUAUCACUAUUGAAAAAAGGGAGACUGUGCCAAAGUUUUCAAGAGUUUUUCAUAACUUUAGGAAGAAGGAGGAUCCUGUAAACCCAUAUAAACCCAUAUAAACCCCCUUAUAAAAUCUCUGAAUGAGAAAUAUUUUCCUCAAUAUUUUAAACAUUGUACUGCAUUUAUCUGAUUGAGACAUUGGGAGAGCGAGAGUUUUCUGUUCUGCUAUCACCAGUGUGUGCUUUUACACAGUAGAGAGAGAGAGAGAGAGAGUAUACAUACAUUCUAGCUAUGUUCAUGUACAUACAGAUAAUAUGGCAGUAUUGGGUAGAUAGCCUAUACGGAUAUGCAUUUGUUAUAAAUGUCUCUCUAUUUAGCUCAAACUGAGCAUCGUAAUAGUCCCUUUCUGGGUUUAGAGAAGCUUUUUAUUAUGAUUUUUUUUUUUUCACUAUUACUUUACUAUUACUUUAACACUUUUUGUUGUUGUGAAUUUGUUGUGAAUUCUCACUGAUGUUAAUUCUCCCCUCUGUUCAACACUACUGAUUUGGUUGCACACACCCCCGAGAACAUAGUCAUUAGUGUUCUUGUGAACAUCUGGCUGAUGGUGUUUAAAUCUUUAUCUUGAAGCAAAGCAAAGGUUUGAAGGUUUGGUUCUAACAGUUUUUCCCCUUAACCCAAAUGCAUAUAUAUAUUUAUAUACAUAUAUAUAUAUAUAUACACUGUGGUAGGCCCCUGGGGUUAGGGGCGUGACCACUGUGACCCGGAAGGAGGAAGCACACAGAGAACACAGACACGGGGAGUAAAUGAAACUCAAAACAUACCUUUAUUCGGCUUUUAAACACCCUCCACCACACCCAAAACAAACUUAAACCAUAACUCAGCCCAAUGGGGCUCUAGAGUCUGUAGAAUGAACUUUAGUUUAGUUCUAAAGGUCCGUGCAGCCUCAGCCCUCAGCUCCCCAGUCAAGAGUUCUCCCAAAUGAUGGCGGAGGCUGAGUAUAUAUGCCUGUCUCAACUGGCGGCUCAAUCAGCCCUCAUGCGGGCCAGCUGAGACAGGCAUGGCUUUGCGCUCUGGCGUGGGGCGGACCCACAACUCCCCCACCUCCUCACGCCACAAUACAUAUAUAUAUAUAUAUAUAUAUAUAUAUAUAUAUAUAUAUAUAUAUAUAUAUAAAGCCUUACAGUACGUUUGCUCUAGAGCUACAAGCAGUAUGGAUACAGUCUCAUAUAAAAUAUCUAAGUAAAUAUGAAAUUUGUUUUGAUUUAGGUAUAGGCUACAGUGUUCAUAAAUGAGCAAAAAAACACCAAAUCACCAUUUUUCCAGUUUUCAACAUAAUAUGAAUCUGACAAUUCUGAACAAUGAUUUAUUCAUAAAAUAAAAAUGAAAUAUCCAUUAAUAAAUAAUUCAUUAAGAUAUUGAAACACUAAUUGUCAUCCUUUUAGAAGUGAAGGCUAAUACAAUAGGACACUUUUACAAAUUAAUUUCUAUAAUCUAAUUAUCUUUGUUAUAGAAAUUAUUGUGAAUUAUCUUGUAAAAUCGUUUAGAAAUGUGUGCUCUUUCAAGGUUGGCGGUCAAGGUCUGCAUUGUCCAUGAUGAAAGGACGAAUAGAAAUUAUCCAGAACUAAAUCAACCCCUGUUUUCUGUCUUUUGUGGCCAUUUUGGUGCAAGAUUUUUUGUCAGACAGCAAUGAAAUACAUAGCUAUAUAUGGCUAUUUGAGGCAUAUAGAUAUAAAUAUCAGACAUUUUCUUAUAUGUAGAAGCUGAUCCGUAAACAUCCGUGUAUAUUCUGCUUUUUUCGACUUAAUUUAAUACAUCAAAUAUCAGUUUCAAAAAUCAGUUAAAUAAAAUUUACAGAAAAAAAAAUCAUCAUUCCUAGUUUGGUGCAACCCUGCAUUUGGGUUAAGGUGGAGAAAGAGGUCAUUUUUGCUAAGCUUUGCUUUUUAAAAAAUAUAAACAUAUUUUUAUUGGUUUAUUUGUUAACACCAACCUGCCAUUCUUCAUUUUUUAACCAGAUAUAAAACACUGCAGAUGUGCCAUAAAAUAUAAUGUAAAGUGCAUGCUCUAGACUAUGAGCUAUGAGCAGCAGGUUAUUAAUUCAUUUUCAUUCAUUGUCUUCUGAUAUCAUAUGAUGCUCUUUAUAUGUAGCUAAGGAGGUGAGAUCAAGUUUAAAGUGGAUAUUUAAUAAUAUUUUAUUAUUUUUUAUCUCAUAUCCUUCCUUUAAUCUCAUAGACGUUAUUAAUAGUGCUUUUGUUAACACUAGAGGGUAAUAAAUAGUGCUGAAUGUAAUGGGCCCGGAGUGAAGUGCCUCUUCUGAACAGGGGUCGUAUAUAUUUGGAGUAUGUUAGCUGGAAUCCAUGCCUUUUAAAUCUUAUCGACUGUAAUAAAAUCUGCAGUGUAGAGCUGAUGCUAGAUCCACACUCUUUAACCUGUGAGGAUGUGUGUUUGAGUGUGUGUGUGUGUGUGUGUGUGUGUGUGUGCUCAGGCCUUCUUUCUAGCUCAUUUUUAACUGACCGUAGUGUUUGCUUGUUUUAUUUUAUUCUAUUUUAUUUUAUUUAAAGCUGCUUCUGUCUGUUUUUUUUAGGUGAAGGAGAAAAGCUGCUUAAACUGUUUAAAUUUCUUUGUUUUUUCAAAUCUUGAACUGUAUUGAACUGGUUGUUUUUCAUACCUCUUUUCAUGGUGCAAAAGCCAUUCUAGACUGACUCGUUGUCUCAUUUCUACAUCCAACCAGAGCCAAACCCAAAUGCAACUUUAGGAAAUAAUAUGUUUUUUUUAUUUUUGGCUUAUUUUUUUUUUUAUCAGUUUCAGAACUACAGAUCUUACUUCUUCUUUAAUAAUGAUCUAUAUGCUUUAUAUCAAAUCACAUAACUGCAGAAGAUGUAUCUCUUUCAGUGUAUCUGACAUAUUGAAUGUUUUAUGUUUUGUAACUAAUCAAAGUCUAGAAUUAUCUCAAUUUUUCUAGCUGAUCUUGCUGAUCUAGAACACUAAAUAUUGUAUUUUCUUUAUUUUUUAUCAUGCCAAGAAAGGAAAAAGAAAGACAGAUGAGAUAUGAUGACAAAUGAGAUACAGCAUGUUAUCACACCCUAUCAGAGCUGGUCCAGGGUCAGCUUAUAAAACUGUAUAUGUUUGUGUUAAAGGAGUACGACAUGCAAAAUCUGUAUUUUAAUGCAAUGCGAUUCCUGACUUUGUAACUGGUUUGGAGAAAGAUGAGACUUAUGAGUCUUAUCUUAGAAAACAGCCCUGAAAGUUCUGUUUAUCAGUAGUUAUAUACAGUAACUAGUUUUAUAUUAUUAUAUAGUUAUAUAGCCUUAGAAUUUGUGUUUUUCAGAGUAAACCAUAUGAUCGUGCAUGAUUGCAUGAAGUGACGCUAGUUUGGAAUACUGUGCUAAAUCUGUGCUAGACACCUGAAGAGGGUAUUUAAAAAAUAUAUAUAUAUAUAUAUUUUGGUAUUAUUUACUCAGAAAAACACAAAUUCUCGAAUAAAUUCAAAUUCUGUUAAUACAAAACCUUAUGUUAUAUGCCUUUAUCCCAAUUAUGCAAUGAACACACGUGUCUGGUGAGCAGUAAGGGUUAAUAUCUUUUUGCUUCAGUGCCCAGAAAUGGAAGUUUGAUAAACUUAAACCUAUUGAAACCACAACCUGGUCAUCAGUAACCAAUCACGAUUGUUGUAGAAACAUAAUUCCAUUUCUGGGGACUUAAGAAUUGCUUAUUAAAGUAUGGAUUUUGCAUUCAGACACUAAUUUCUGGCUCCAUUCUUGUGGUGCACCUGAUACAAUAUGUGCUGCACAUGUAGCCCAUGGAGCUACAACAUCUUGACACAUAUGUAGGCCAUGGUGCUAAACUGUUUGAUGCAUCUGUAGUCCAUGGUACAUUAACCUGGACCAUGAUCUUGAUACAUUAUUUCUCAUAAAAGAGAAGAAAAGACAUUUAUCAUAGACAGAAAUGGACAAGAGUUGAUUACUUCUGUUAUAAGCCAACUUUGGCUUAUCAGCUUUUCUGUUCUUUUACUAAAUACAGGGAAUCGCAUUAAGACUUUUUUUUUUUUUUUUGGAGACCAUAUGGUACAGAUGCACCUGAAACAUGUUCGUCUAUUCCUUUAACACUGGCCAGUAACAAGUUCUCCUCGUAUAAGUACUUAAGCCAGUGUACUAAGACUCUACUAACAGUUUAAAACUUCUUCUGAGGCCAAGACUAGACCCUGUUUAUGCCAAAUGAAUGGAGGCGUGCUUUAUAUUUCAGUGUAAGCUACUGUUUCUGCUCUCGUUUUUAUUUGUAUUUUUUCCGUUUCCUGGAUAUGUAACCAAAGCCAGUGGAAAGACUGUUACCAGGCACCGAGGUUACUGUGCUCAUGCUGUUUUCCUCUCAUUUCAGUCAGUUUAAAACGUUUCAUCAGUUCAGAACAAUGACCGUCAUAAACCAUACAAAAGCCAUAAAGAGGAGGCUGGGAUCUCUGUGGUCUCUCUGUGGCUAGCUGCUAAAAACAAGUCACACUAAAAAUCAAUUGUAACAAACGUGUCAUUAUUUUUUAUUUUUUUAUUUUUUUCAUACUGUAGGUCCCUAAACUAACUGCCUAGCUAGUGUCUAAGUGUGUUUGUGUCUUGUGAAAAUUAGGGAAAUAGAUUGGCUACAUGGACAAAUGCAUUCAAUAGCCGUUACUGUAUGCCUGCCUAUACAUGUAAUCAUUUUAUGUCAAUCUAUCUUAGCUCCAGAUUUUACCUUUUGUCAUGCCAGUAUUUUUAGACCACACUUUUUGAUACUGAACAUUUUAUUUUGAAAUACAAAAAUAUUAUACAUUCCAAAAAAGAUUUAUUUAUCUGCAUCGUUUUUAUUUCUUCUUAUUUUUAAAACUCACAUUAAAAGACUGCCAUGUACUAUAUGUCAUAACUGACUUGUAACAAUCAUAGAUAAUAUAUUUAAUAUGGCAAAUAAAUUAUAGUCAUUAUAUGUAUUCA